rnacentral:rRNA from 1 species
UGGGGAAUUUUGGACAAUGGGCGAAAGCCUGAUCCAGCAAUGCCGCGUGUGUGAAGAAGGCCUUCGGGUUGUAAAGCACUUUUGUCCGGAAAGAAAUCCUUGGCUCUAAUACAGUCGGGGGAUGACGGUACCGGAAGAAUAAGCACCGGCUAACUACGUGCCAGCAGCCGCGGUAAUACGUAGGGUGCAAGCGUUAAUCGGAAUUACUGGGCGUAAAGCGUGCGCAGGCGGUUUGCUAAGACCGAUGUGAAAUCCCCGGGCUCAACCUGGGAACUGCAUUGGUGACUGGCAGGCUAGAGUAUGGCAGAGGGGGGUAGAAUUCCACGUGUAGCAGUGAAAUGCGUAGAGAUGUGGAGGAAUACCGAUGGCGAAGGCAGCCCCCUGGGCCAAUACUGACGCUCAUGCACGAAAGCGUGGGGAGCAAACAGGAUUAGAUACCCUGGUAGUCCACGCCCUAAACGAUGUCAACUAGUUGUUGGGGAUUCAUUUCCUUAGUAACGUAGCUAACGCGUGAAGUUGACCGCCUGGGGAGUACGGUCGCAAGAUUAAAGCUC